CUCUCCUUACCUCUGCUGCAGUAAAGUGCCAAUGGGACGGUGUGAGAGAUCUUUGAUUGUACCACUGGAAUGCGGAGGAACACAGCAAGGUGGGCGCUUGGAUAGCGCCAGUGUACAGGCAUUGCAUGGGCUGGCAUCUCCCUUUGAUCUCCCCUGUUGGCCUCAGCUCAUGGUCACCAUACCAGAGGCAUUUGCCCGACUGCCAGACUGGG